rnacentral:rRNA from 1 species
UGGGGAAUUUUGGACAAUGGGCGAAAGCCUGAUCCAGCAAUGCCGCGUGUGUGAAGAAGGCCUUCGGGUUGUAAAGCACUUUUGUCCGGAAAGAAAUCCUUGGCUCUAAUACAGUCGGGGGAUGACGGUACCGGAAGAAUAAGCACCGGCUAACUACGUGCCAGCAGCCGCGGUAAUACGUAGGGUGCAAGCGUUAAUCGGAAUUACUGGGCGUAAAGCGUGCGCAGGCGGUUUGCUAAGACCGAUGUGAAAUCCCCGGGCUCAACCUGGGAACUGCAUUGGUGACUGGCAGGCUAGAGUAUGGCAGAGGGGGGUAGAAUUCCACGUGUAGCAGUGAAAUGCGUAGAGAUGUGGAGGAAUACCGAUGGCGAAGGCAGCCCCCUGGGCCAAUACUGACGCUCAUGCACGAAAGCAUGGGGAGCAAACAGGAUUCAGAUACCCUGGUAGUCCACGCCCUAAACGAUGUCAACUAGUUGUUGGGGAUUCAUUUCCUUAGUAACGUAGCUAACGCGUGAAGUUGACCGCCUGGGGAGUACGGUCGCAAGAUUAAAACUCAAAUGAAUUGACGGGGUCAUA